CCUAAGUUAGGUGACCAGCCAAUACCAUCACAGUGACCACAAAGACCUAAGUCAGGUGACCAGCCAAUACCAUCACAGUGACCACAAAGGGCCAAAAGCUCAAAGAUGUGGCAGAGUGUAAGACUGCAAGGUGGGAGCACCAUAACCAUCCCGAGGGAGGAAGAUAUUUGAGGGUCGGGCUCCUUAUUGGAGUGAUCUCUUCCAGUGCAGGGGUCGCUAGAGGUUCUCUAAGGGAGACUGGGUUUGAGCUGAGGUUUGAGGUGUGGAUUUCAUUUCAAGAGGCAGGGAAGGGAAAUUGUGCCUUUUACAGGUGAGAUUGUCGGAAUGAGUAAAUUUACAAGACCAGGAUAAGGACAAAUAGGUUUCUCAGAAAGGAUCUAAGAAGCCCAGAGAGCUGAGCCCUGGAGUUUGCAGGUGAUGGAAAGUCAAAACCAGGAUCAGAGUCACUAGGAGCCAGAGUCACACAUAACUGAAACUUGGGGGAGCUGGAGCUCCAAGCGGACCAAGGAAGCUGGCCCACAGAGCAGCCCUCUCUUCUCAGGAAUCAGACGUAAGUCCCUGGGGUGCUGGAGCAGAGACAAAUCAAAAUGAAAGAAUUGCGUUUUCUCUUCAGCAAUCAAGAUGCUGCUACUAGGGAGAUGCAGUAGAGAGACAAAAAUGUGGCCAACACUGGAGCAGCGAGGGGAGAGCAUGGUUAGAAGACGACUCUGACCCCAAGAGCAGUUCCUGUCCACUUGCAACUUCCCGAUCCUUGAAGACCACACUUGCGACUUGCCAUUUGAGCCUGAAGGGGUUUCUAGUUUUCCUUCUUGUCACCUGACUUUUAGCCCUUUUCCUGUCCUUCGUCAGCCUUCUCCAUAGUGUGGAAAAGGGAGAUGAAAGAUGAAAUAAUCAUGAAAGUUUUGCUAGGCUGGAUGAUGAUAGAACUGAAGAAUGAUGAAGCCAGAAAGAGGCCCUGGAGAUAAUCUAAUCCAGUUCCUCCAUUUGGAAAAGACACAUCUAAGAGUGAAGGAAGACUAAAAUCGAAAGGCGAAGUGGGAGACUGAGCUCCGGGAACACGCAGGCCCUCAGAUCCUGGAGCCGUGCAGGGGGCGUUCCUGCUGUCUUGGCUGUUCCCUGUGCUGCUCACCGCCCCACCCAGGAGAGGCAGAGAGGCCCAGAGGCUGAGGGCCUGGACCAGCCGGCUGUGAGUCUGGGGUAUUUCCCUCAGUGCACGCAGGACCUUGGGCUGCAUUUGCGUUGCUUCCUCUCAGAGCAUUUGGAAGAGCCCACAUCAGUCACUGGGAGGAGGGACUUGUUGAAAGGACUUCCUGGGCUCCCCCCACCCCUACUGCACUGGAAUCUCUGAAGUGGGGCCCAGAAAUCUGGAGUUUCAGGAACAUCCUGAGGGAAUCCUUUUGCAAACUCAAGUUGACGGUCAUUGGC
rnacentral:lncRNA from 1 species